GAGGAAUCUCCCUCUGGGGAAUGUGGAAUCACAGAUGCUGACAGCCCAAAGGAGGCACUGGAAACAGGAUCAUGGAACUUUGAAGCCGUGAGGGAGGAACUUUCUGUUCCCCUGAAGUUUCUGAACUGCUUCUGCAAGUGUGGUCUGGGAACGGUAACAUCAUUAUCUGGGAGUCUGUUGGAAAUGCAAAUUCCUGGGUCCCAACUAGAACUACUGAAUCAGAAUCUGUUGGGAGGAGGGUCCAGCAAUCUGUUUUGAAAAGCCCUGCAGCUGAUUCUGAUGCUUGCCAACAUGCAGGAAGCACUGGACUAUACCAUCUUGUUAUUAGACAACUAUGCAGGAAAAUAGCUGUGUUAUCAGACUGUAUUCAAAGGCCCUGAAGCUUAAAUAUUUUAAAAUAUUUCUUACAGCUGGACAUGGCAGCUCACACCUAUAUUCCCAGCACUUUGGGAGGCCAAGGUGGAAGGAUCACUUGAACCCAGGAGUUGAAGACAAGCCUGGGCAACAUAUCAAGACCCUCUUUUAAAAAAAAAAAAAAAAAAAAAAAGCCAGGCACGGAGGCUCUCAUGCCUAUAAUCCCAGCACUUUGGGAGGCCACGGCAGGCAGAUCAUGAGGUCAGGAGUUCAAGACCAGCCUGGUCAACAUGGUGAAACCCUGUCUCUACUAAAAAUACAAACAUUAGCUGGGCAUGGUGCUAUGUGCCUGGUAAUCCCAGCUACUGAGGGGGCUGAGGCAGGAGAAUGGCUUGAACUCAGGAGGCAGAGGUUGCAGUGAGCCGAGAUUGUGCCACUGCACUCCAGCCUGAGUGACAGAGCAAGACUCUGUCUCAAAAACAAACAAACAAACAAAAAACCCACAAAAAACAGCCGGGCACGGUGGCUCACACCUGUAAUCCCAGAACUUUGGGAGGCCGAGGCGGGCGGAUCACCUGAGGUCGGGAGUUUGAGACCAGCCUGACCAACAUGGAAAAACCCCGUCUCUACUAAAAAAAUACAAAAUUAGUGGGGCGUGAUGGUGCAUGCCUGUAAUACCAGCUACUCAGGAGGCUGAGGCAGGAGAAUUGCUUGAACCUGGGAGGCAGAGGUUGUGGUAAGCCGAGAUUGCACUAUUACACUCCAGCCUGGGGAACAAGAGUGAAACUCCAUCUCAAAAACCAAAACAAAAACUCCACAAAAAAACCAGAAAACUGUAAUUCAAUAGGUAAUGCUGUGUUCCAAUAAUUUUUUUUUUUUU
rnacentral:lncRNA from 1 species